rnacentral:rRNA from 1 species
ACUCCUACGGGAGGCAGCAGUGGGGAAUAUUGGACAAUGGGCGAAAGCCUGAUCCAGCAAUGCCGCGUGAGUGAUGAAGGCCCUAGGGUUGUAAAGCUCUUUUACCCGGGUAAGAUAAUGACUGUACCGGGAGAAUAAGCCCGGCUAACUCCGUGCCAGCAGCCGCGGUAAUACGGAGGGGGCUAGCGUUGUUCGGAAUUACUGGGGCGUAAAGCGCACGUAGGCGGCUUUGUAAGUCAGAGGUGAAAGCCUGGAGCUCAACUCCAGAACUGCCUUUGAGACUGCAUCGCUUGAAUCCAGGAGAGGUCAGUGGAAUUCCGAGUGUAGAGGUGAAAUUCGUAGAUAUUCGGAAGAACACCAGUGGCGAAGGCGGCUGACUGGACUGGUAUUGACGCUGAGGUGCGAAAGCGUGGGGGAGCAAACAGGAUUAGAUACCCCUGGUA